rnacentral:rRNA from 1 species
GUGAGGAAUAUUGGUCAAUGGACGCAAGUCUGAACCAGCCAUGCCGCGUGCAGGAAGACGGCUCUAUGAGUUGUAAACUGCUUUUGUAUUAGGGUAAACUCAGGUACGUGUACCUGACUGAAAGUAUAAUACGAAUAAGGAUCGGCUAACUCCGUGCCAGCAGCCGCGGUAAUACGGAGGAUCCAAGCGUUAUCCGGAUUUAUUGGGUUUAAAGGGUGCGUAGGCGGUUUGAUAAGUUAGAGGUGAAAUACCGGGGCUUAACUCCGGAACUGCCUCUAAUACUGUUGAACUAGAGAGUAGUUGCGGUAGGCGGAAUGUAUGGUGUAGCGGUGAAAUGCUUAGAGAUCAUACAGAACACCGAUUGCGAAGGCAGCUUACCAAACUAUAUCUGACGUUGAGGCACGAAAGCGUGGGGAGCAAACAGG